rnacentral:rRNA from 1 species
AUUGAACGCUGGCGGCAGGCCUAACACAUGCAAGUCGAGCGGAUGAAGGGAGCUUGCUCCUGGAUUCAGCGGCGGACGGGUGAGUAAUGCCUAGGAAUCUGCCUGGUAAUGGGGGAUAACGUCCGGAAACGGGCGCUAAUACCGCAUACGUCCUGAGGGAGAAAGUGGGGGAUCUUCGGACCUCACGCUAUCAGAUGAGCCUAGGUCGGAUUAGCUAGUUGGUGGGGUAAAGGCCCACCAAGGCGACGAUCCGUAACUGGUCUGAGAGGAUGAUCAGUCACACUGGAACUGAGACACGGUCCAGACUCCUACGGGAGGCAGCAGUGGGGAAUAUUGGACAAUGGGCGAAAGCCUGAUCCAGCCAUGCCGCGUGUGUGAAGAAGGUCUUCGGAUUGUAAAGCACUUUAAGUUGGGAGGAAGGGCAGUAAGUUAAUACCUUGCUGUUUUGACGUUACCAACAGAAUAAGCACCGGCUAACUUCGUG